rnacentral:rRNA from 1 species
UACGGAGGAUCCGAGCGUUAUCCGGAUUUAUUGGGUUUAAAGGGUGCGUAGGCGGACUAAUAAGUCAGCUGUGAAAGUUUACGGCUCAACCGUGAAAUUGCAGUUGAAACUGUUAGUCUUGAGUACACAUGAGGUGAGCGGAAUUUGUGGUGUAGCGGUGAAAUGCUUAGAUAUCACAAGGAACUCCAAUUGCGAAGGCAGCUCACUGGGGUGUAACUGACGCUGAGGCACGAAGGUGCGGGUAUCAAACAGG